GUUUGUAUAUUAAAUGUAAUGGCAGGCAACACUUGACACUUGAUUAGAUUUCGAAUAUUGGAAUUAUUUUAAAUGUUUUAAAAAACAGAUCAUUGUAUUCUCGUAAGAAAAUGUUAGUAACUUCUCAUCUAGACACGGCAAGACAAACAUGUAAUAGUUUUAUUAAAAAAUAUAUAGAUAAUAAUUGUAUUAUGGUUUAAAAGUGUUCAAGCAAUCUGCAAUAUAAUUAUAAUGAAGCAGUUGUGUUUUUAAAUAGCCCCUCAUCACCUACAGAACCCAAUCCCACAAAUUAAACCAUCCAACAGGUUAUGGGCCCAGACCAGAAUUUAUAAGGUAAUAUUUAUUAUAGUUUGCUGAUUAAAACAUCACCUACGCCUACAACAUCACCAUGGAAACGAAACUGUUUGUAAAAAUUUUUCUUAGCAACCGAUAUGUAAUGAAUUUAAUGAAAAUAAAACCAUUAAAAAACAGAAAAUGUUAUAAUAUUUGGCUGAAAUACCAAACAGAAUUAUAAGAGUAUGAGAUAAGGUAAUAGAAGGGAGAACAACAAAUAAAAAAUAAUCGUGAAGACGAAGUCGACAAAGUUCGAGAAGGUGCUAGAGGAAGAUAUGGAGUUAAUGAAGUUCGAGAAGGUGAUAGAGGAAGAAAUGGAGUUAAUGGAGUUCGAGAAGGUGAUUUUAGAGGAAAUAGUAGUAAUGGAGGUAAUGAAGUUCGAGAAGGUGAAAUAGGAAGAAAUGGAGAGUUAGUGGAGUUCGAGAAGGUGAUAUUAGAGGAAAUAAUAGUAAUGGAGGUAAUGAAGUUCGAGAAGGUGAAAUAAGAAGGAAUGGAGAGUUAGUGGAGUUCGAGAAGGUGAUAUUAAAGGAAAUAAUAGUAAUGGACUGUAAUGAAGUAGAAAUGGCGUAAAGUUCGAGAUGUUGUUAAAAGGCGAAAUAAUAGAGAAACAAAUGAAAAUGGAACGAAUGAUAGCAGAUUAACAAAUGAAAAUCUGGUCAUGGAAAACUUUGAGACUUUAAGUGUAUUCAUUUUAAAAAAAAGUGAACAUGUUUCGGGAGAAAUGGGUUAGUUUGUAAGUUUGAUAGGGAAAUUUAAAUGCUAUAUACAACAAGAGGUAUAACUAAAAAGAGACAAGGAUAAUUCAUAAAGUAAGGGGGUGUUUUCAAUGAAUUCAAAAUUAAGGGGGUGCUCUUUUUCAACAGACAUAAACAAUUAAGGGGGUGAUCAUAAAAAUAUUUUUUUUUAUUAAUUAUACUAUAAAUACAAUAGAUAGUCUAGCCGUGGAGGAAGUACACAUUAUUUGAUACAAACAUAUUUACAGUCGUUUUUUAAAAUCCUUUUGAGUCUCUUUUAUAGUUUUGUUUUAUUGUUGUUUUAUAAUAGAUGUUAGGAAUUUUGUUUUGUGUUAUAUUAAAAUAAUAGAACGGAUAUGUGCAAAAAGUGAGAAAAUUUAAGAAGUGAGAAAAAACAAAAGUUAAUGGAAGGUUGUAUGAAUAAUGUAAGAUUGUAUGUGUGAUGUGAAUUCAAAUGUUGAAUUUGUUGAAGUUGUGCGAGGUUAUUUGUUAUGAGUUAUGUGGUUUGUGAGUGGAGUUGAAGGUGAUUAAGGUUAAAGAAGUUAAGAGGGAGAUUAACGUUAAAUAAGUUGAGAAGGAGAUAAAGGAGUUUAAAGGUAAAAGAGUCGAGUAGGAGUUAAAGGUAAAAGAGUCGAGUAGGAGUUAAAGGUAAAAGAGUCGAGUAGGAGUUAAAGGUUAGAGUCGAGUAGGAGUUAAAGGUAAAAGAGUCGAGUAGGAGUUAAAGGUAAAAGAGUCGAGUAGGAGUUAAAGGUAAAAGAGUCGAGUAGGAGUUAAAGGUAAAAGAGUCGAGUAGGAGUUAAAGGUCAGAGUCGAGAAGGAGUUAAAGGUUAGAGUCGAGAAGGAGUUAAAGGUUAGAGUCGAGAAGGAGUUAAAGGUUAGAGUCGAGAAGGAGUUAAAGGUUAGAGUCGAGAAGGAGUUAAAGGUUAGAGUCGAGAAGGAGUUAAAGGUUAGAGUCGAGAAGGAGUUAAAGGUUAGAGUCGAGAAGGAGUUAAAGGUUAGAGUCGAGAAGGAGUUUUAGAGUCGAGAAGGAGUUAAAGGUUAGAGUCGAGAAGGAGUUAAAGGUUAGAGUCGAGAAGGAGUUAAAGGUUAGAGUCGAGAAGGAGUUAAAGGUUAGAGUCGAGAAGGAGUUUAGGUUAAAGAGGUCGAGAAGGAGGUUAUUAAAGUAAAGAGGUUGAGAAGGCGUUUAAGGUUAUUAAAGUAAAGAGGUUGAGAAGGCGUUUAAGGUUAUUAAAGUAAAGAGGUUGAGAAGGCGUUUAAGGUUAUUAAAGUAAAGAGGUUGAGAAGGCGUUUAAGGUUAUUAAAGUAAAGAGGUUGAGAAGGCGUUAAAAGUUUUAAAUAAACUUGAAGAGUUUAUGUAGGAAGUCGAGAAGGAGUUAGACUAUUAUAGUUAGGGUUUUAUAUAGUGAGUCAAGAGGGAAGUUAAGGUUGAAUGGUUGUAUGGUUGAAUGAAAGUAUAUUUUUGAUCGAAUUGGAGUUGGAGAAGUAAGAAAGGAUUAAAGGUAGCGACAUUAAAGAUAGUAUUAAGUUUGAAAGGUAAAAUGAAUAGUUGUUGGUUGAAUUGAGAGGGAUUAAGUGGAAGUAACGGAAUGUAAGUGGUUGUGAGGUUUUAAAGUAUGUAUGGAAAGUAAUUAAUUUAUGAAGGUCAGGUUAGCGUUAUUCUUUUUUGGUAUUAAAUUAUAGACGGAGAAAAAUGUGUGCAAGUGUUGAGGGGGUGUGUUGGAGUUUGUAUAUUAAAUGUAAUGGCAGGCAACACUUGAGACUUGAUUAGAUUUCGAAUAUUGGAAUUAUUUUAAAUGUUUUAAAAAACAGAUCAUUGUAUUCUCGUAAGAAAAUGUUAGUAACUUCUCAUCUAGACACGGCAAGACAAACAUGUAAUAGUUUUAUUAAAAAAUAUAUAGAUAAUAAUUGUAUUAUGGUUUAAAAGUGUUCAAGCAAUCUGCAAUAUAAUUAUAAUGAAGCA